rnacentral:sRNA from 1 species
CGGGUGCACCGCCGACCGACCU